rnacentral:lncRNA from 1 species
ACUCCAGUCGUCUUUCUAGUUCACAUGACAGAGAGAGGUCAAAACACCAACGAGGACCCCCGGGACUGGCAGGAAGAACGGAUGACGCUGGGGAAAGGCCAUGAUUCCCGAGGAAGAAGGGAGACGAGAAUGGCCCAAAAUGGAACCAAGUGUGCCAGAAAAGACGAGACACCUCUGGAGACUUCUGGGGAAAUUCGUGGUAAAAUGUCAGUGUUAGAAAACAGUAGCUGUCACUACCACUGUGGAAUGAAAGUGAUGAGAAACCAUUAAAACCCUCAUUUAAUCCACUGAGAAA